rnacentral:rRNA from 1 species
AUGGUAAACUCGCAGCAUGACAAAUCUGAUCAUGAGGAGGUCGUUGAGCUUCCGGAGGGUCUGGAGAUAAGUGAUGAUUUGCGUAUCCAUCUGAUGGCGAUCAAGGGAGCCAACAAUAAGCUUGGGACAAGGGUUGAGGAAUUGUCUGCAAAUAUUGUAGGCAUCAAGGACAUGUUGAACGAGCGUUUGACUGUCAGCGGCCGACAGCACACUGAUAGUCUACAGGUGGUGAUUGAGAGUCUUAAUCGGCUCAUCACAGCAGUUCAACGCCUUCAGGCGAGAGAUGUUGCACCCCGAUAG